UUUCCGUAGGUGAACCUGCGGAAGGAUCAUUAAAGAGAUCAUGCCCUCACGGGUAGACCUCCCACCCUUUGUUUACAAUACCUUUGUUGCUUUGGCGGGCCCGUUUGGCCCCGCGCUGAACAACCGGCCCCGGCUGGUCAGUGCCCGCCAGAGAACCGAAAACUCUAAAUUAAAUGUCGUCUGAGUACUAUGUAAUAGUUAAAACUUUCAACAACGGAUCUCUUGGUUCUG
rnacentral:misc_RNA from 1 species